UACGUAGGAGGCGAGCGUUGUCCGGAAUUACUGGGCGUAAAGCGCGUGUAGGCGGUCUGAAUAGUCUGCUGUGAAAGCGCCUGGCUUAACCGGGCGAGGUCGGCGGAAACUCUCAGACUGGAGGCCGGUAGAGGGGGGUGGAAUUCCAGGUGUAGCGGUGAAAUGCGUAGAUAUCUGGAGGAACAUCAGUGGCGAAGGCGGCUUCCUGGUCCAACACUGACACUGAGGUGCGAAAGCGUGGGGAGCAAACAGG
rnacentral:rRNA from 1 species